rnacentral:rRNA from 1 species
UACGUAGGGUGCAAGCGUUGUCCGGAAUUAUUGGGCGUAAAGAGCUUGUAGGCGGUUUGUCGCGUCUGCUGUGAAAUUUCGGGGCUCAACCCCGAACUUGCAGUGGGUACGGGCAGACUAGAGUGUGGUAGGGGAGACUGGAAUUCCUGGUGUAGCGGUGAAAUGCGCAGAUAUCAGGAGGAACACCGGUGGCGAAGGCGGCAUCCUGGACCGGCAUUGACGCUGAACAGCGAAAGCUAGGGGAGCAAACGGG